rnacentral:rRNA from 1 species
AACGAACGCUGGCGGCAUGCCUAACACAUGCAAGUCGAACGAGACCUUCGGGUCUAGUGGCGCACGGGUGCGUAACGCGUGGGAAUCUGCCCUUGGGUUCGGGAUAACAGUUGGAAACGACUGCUAAUACCGGAUGAUGACUUCGGUCCAAAGAUUUAUCGCCCAGGGAUGAGCCCGCGUCGGAUUAGCUAGUUGGUGAGGUAAGAGCUCACCAAGGCGACGAUCCGUAGCUGGUCUGAGAGGAUGAUCAGCCACACUGGGACUGAGACACGGCCCAGACUCCUACGGGAGGCAGCAGUGGGGAAUAUUGGACAAUGGGCGAAAGCCUGAUCCAGCAAUGCCGCGUGAGUGAUGAAGGCCUUAGGGUUGUAAAGCUCUUUUACCCGGGAUGAUAAUGACAGUACCGGGAGAAUAAGCCCCGGCUAACUCCGU